GCCAAAAAUAGACAGCAAAAUCAGACUGCAGUUCAGAGAUCACACUCUCAUCUCCGUGGAACCAGAUCAAGAGAAUGCUGAUGAAAUCCGCAGGGAGAUGGUUUAUGUGUAUCAUUCCUUAAGGAACAGGAGAGACACUCCCAUGAUGGGGACAGAUGACACUGCCAGUGAGGAUGGCACGGCCCAGCAGACUCACGGGCUGCGCUUUCCUUUGUCAUACUUGGAAGCACUGAAGCAGGUUUGGAGGAGCAGCACUGUUCAUGUUAAAGAGCUUAACCUCACCUCAGAU